GACGUAGGGUGCAAGCGUUUGUCCGGAUUUAUUGGGCGUAAAGAGCUCGUAGGCGGCUUGUUGCGUCGACUGUGAAAACCCGCGGCUUAACCGCGGGCUUGCAGUUGAUACGGGCAGGCUAGAGUUCGGUAGGGGAGACUGGAAUUCCUGGUGUAGCGGUGAAAUGCGCAGAUAUCAGGAGGAACACCGGUGGCGAAGGCGGGUCUCUGGGCCGAUACUGACGCUGAGGAGCGAAAGCAUGGGGAGCGAACAGG
rnacentral:rRNA from 1 species